rnacentral:rRNA from 1 species
UACGUAGGGGGCAAGCGUUAUCCGGAUUCACUGGGUGUAAAGGGAGCGUAGACGGCGACGCAAGUCUGGAGUGAAAGCCCGGGGCCCAACCCCGGGACUGCUCUGGAAACUGCGUCGCUGGAGUGCCGGAGGGGUAGGCGGAAUUCCUAGUGUAGCGGUGAAAUGCGUAGAUAUUAGGAGGAACACCAGUGGCGAAGGCGGCCUACUGGACGGUGACUGACGCUGAGGCUCGAAAGCGUGGGGAGCAAACAGG